GACGAACGCUGGCGGCGUGCUUAACACAUGCAAGUCGAACGGUGAAGCUCCAGCUUGCUGGAGUGGAUCAGUGGCGAACGGGUGAGUAACACGUGAGUAACCUGCCCCUGACUCUGGAAUAAGCGCUGGAAACUGCGUCUAAUACCGGAUACGAGAAGGGUCUGCAUGGGCACUUUCUGGAAAGUUCUUCGGUUGGGGAUGGGCUCGCGGCCUAUCAGCUUGUUGGUGAGGUAAUGGCUCACCAAGGCGACGACGGGUAGCCGGCCUGAGAGGGCGACCGGCCACACUGGGACUGAGACACGGCCCAGACUCCUACGGGAGGCAGCAGUGGGGAAUAUUGCACAAUGGGCGGAAGCCUGAUGCAGCGACGCCGCGUGAGGGAUGACGGCCUUCGGGUUGUAAACCUCUUUCAGCAGGGAAGAAGCGAAAGUGACGGUACCUGCAGAAGAAGCACCGGCUAACUACGUG
rnacentral:rRNA from 1 species